UGGGGGAUAUUGCACAAUGGGCGAAAGCCUGAUGCAGCGACGCCGCGUGGGGGAUGAAGGCCUUCGGGUUGUAAACUUCUCUUGCUCUGAACAAGGCAUGCCUUUGGGGUGUGUUGAGUGUAGGGGUUGAUUAGCGCCGGCUAACUACGUGCCAGCAGCCGCGGUAAUACGUAGGGCGCGAGCGUUGUCCGGAAUUAUUGGGCGUAAAGGGCUUGUAGGUGGCUGGUUGCGUCUGUCGUGAAAGCUCAUGGCUUAACUGUGGGUUUGCGGUGGGUACGGGCUGGCUUGAGUGCAGUAGGGGAGGCUGGAAUUCCUGGGGUAGCGGUGGAAUGCGCAGAUAUCAGGAGGAAUACCGGUGGCGAAGGCGGGUCUCUGGGCUGUUACUGACGCUGAGGAGCGAAAGCGUGGGGAGCGAACAGG
rnacentral:rRNA from 1 species